CUGCGCUGAGAGCGGCACCGCUCGGCGGCUGCGGGCUGCCCCGCCGCUGUGGUGCGCUGAGCGGUCCGAGCUCGCCGCAAACCCCGCGCCCCCCGCGAGAACAGGGAAGGGAUAGCUCCGGGAAUGCAGCCGUGGGAAAGAGAAAUCCUUCCCUGCCUGCGGAUAAGGUGUCUAGGGGACUAAAAGCGGGUAAGGACGCUCAAGUCUCUAAGAUGGCACCAAAUCUCUCAGCAAAGCGGGCAGUAUAGUUGCGUUGUUAAGCAUUUUCCUCGCCGGCGUGCACCACACUGACACUAAUGUCAGAAAUGAAUGUCAAAGUAACUCUGACAUCGUUAGACAGCCCGUUCCGCAGGGACAUCCGCACACGUUGGCGAAAGCGCUGCGGGGAAUAAUGCCCCACCACCGCGAUCUUCGCGACCGACGGCAUCCUCACGUACAGUGCCCUCCGCGGCCACAGAUCUGCGGCUAAACAAACCCAAAUGAACAAAAUAAGUGCAAACCAGGCUUCUUCCUGCAAGGGAGUUGAAAUGCAUGUAUGAGGAGCGUAUAGAAUAAAAGAAAAGAAAAAAAAAAAUGUGUGUUUUCAGCUCCAAAUCGCUGCAUUAACAGCAAGAGAACAAGAUCAGUAUACCUGACAGAAGGGGGCAAACUCCUGUUCGGACAGCGAUUGUUGUAUGACAAGAAGCAACAACUGCUUUGCUAUAAAAACAGUGUUUAUUACGAAGAAACCGAAUGAGCAGCCAUCCAAAUAAAUACCCCCUGCAUCCAACAAGUGCGCGGUGUUUGUGAUGUUUUGGGUGCCGCUGACCUUUCUGUCCUUUUAACCAUUACUGUGUUUUUGCUCGCCGUUAUGAACACUGUUUUCCAGUUGUCCCAAUUUCAACACUGCUUAACACUCCUAAGCUGCACGGAGAAAUAACAGAAAGGGGUAUUUUUUUUCCCCCCUGUAUAUGCGCGUCAAUAAAUUCAAUACGUAUUCUUACUUCAUGUUUUCAUGUGGUUACACGGAGCCCGUGCAAAUAAUAGCCUCCAACUCCGCCGUAUUUAUGGUGCAUCCUAUUGCUUAUCCCCGGUCCUUGGAGAGUGGUAGCACAUUCACCCUGACAGGUGGGGAAAAGCCACAAGAGCUUAGCGGUGGCAUCGUUCUUCAAGUUGGGAGCUUUCUCUUUGUAUCUCUGUGAUUUGUGCCUUUUUUUUUACUGUAGCAUCCAGACGGACCGGUUUAUUUAAAACAAGUGAACUCCUUGGUAACGCACGAGCAGAUGAUGCCCCGCGCACGUACGGAGCCUCCGCGUACCCCGUGUGUGUGCGGACCCGCGGCUGUCCCGCGACUCUGCGCCUCGAAGUGCCGGCACCGAGCGGGGCUGCAAAAUACAACCAGCGCUACUGAAAGAACGGCGAGAAAGCAGGGGGCGAGCAGUGGGGCAUUCCUCGCAAAAGCGUCCCCAGCCUCGCUCAACAAACAACUCCUCCGCCAAAACACUAAAUAUGAAGUAGGAAACCCGCAAACAAAACGAGAGGGAUACUGCGGGGGCGGCGGGCCGGUGGCCAGGCGCUGUCUGCCCGCAGCCUCCCGCAGCCGCGCGGUCCCUCAGCCCCGGAGCCCCGCAGGCUCUCGCAGCCCCGCCGCGGUCACCGGGCUCUCUGCGUGCCCGCGGAUCGGCCCUGCGGGUUCCGCGCUCGCCGGCUCAGAUCCGCACCUGUCCCCGUUGCCGGGGUCCCGCACCUCCCGG
ensembl:lncRNA